CAAGCAGCCGCGGUAAUUCCAGCUCCAAUAGCGUAUAUUAAAGUUGUUGCCGUUAAAAAGCUCGUAGUCGAACUUCGGCGCCUGAUGGCCGGUCCGCCUUCUUGGUGUGUACUUGCUCAUCGGGCGCUUACCUCCUGGUGAACUCUGAUGUCCUUUACUGGGUGUCAGAGCAAACCAGGACGUUUACUUUGAAAAAAUUAGAGUGUUCAAAGCAGGCCUACGCCCGAAUACAUUAGCAUGGAAUAAUAGAAUAGGACGCGCGUUCCCAUUUUGUUGGUUUCUGAGAUCGCCGUAAUGAUUAAUAGGGAUAGUUGGGGGCAUUUGUAUUCCGUCGUCAGAGGUGAAAUUCUUGGAUUGCCGGAAGACAAACUACUGCGAAAGCAUUUGCCAAGGAUGUUUUCAUUGAUCAAGAACGAAGGAAGGGGGAUCGAAAACGAUCAGAUACCGUUGUAGUCUCUUCUGUAAACUAUGCCAAUUGGGGAUUAGCACAGGAUUUUCAAUGACUGUGUUAGCACCCGAAGAGAAAUCUUUAAAUGAGGUUCGGGGGGGAGUAUGGUCGCAAGGCUGAAACUUAAAGGAAUUGACGGAAGGGCACCACCAGGUGUGGAGCCUGCGGCUUAAUUUGACUCAACACGGGGAAACUCACCAGGUCCAGACACAAUAAGGAUUGACAGAUUGAUAGCUCUUUCUUGAUCUUGUGGUUGGUGGUGCAUGGCCGUUCUUAGUUGGUGGAGUGAUUUGUCUGGUUAAUUCCGAUAACGAACGAGACCUUAACCUGCUAAAUAGACCAGUCGACUUUGGUUGACUGCUGUCUUCUUAGAGGGACUAUCAGCGUUUAGCUGAUGGAAGUUUGAGGCAAUAACAGGUCUGUGAUGCCC
rnacentral:rRNA from 1 species